UGGUGCUGGAGGCACUGGUUUUUAAAUAAAGCUGAAUCUUUCUGUUACUUUUCAGGCAGAGGCAAGGCUGGCAGCAAAACGGGCUGCCCGGGCAGAAGCAAGAGAUAUCCGCAUGAGAGAACUGGAACGGCAGCAAAAAGAGCACUCUCAUCAUUCCUUUGACCGGAAAUGGGGACAGAUUCAGAAGUGGCUGGAAGAGUCGGAAAGAGCCAGGUCUUCCCACAGAUCCAGUCAUCGUCGUCCUUCUCUGGUUUGUAAUAACCUACAAACUUGCCUCUGAUACUUUUCCUCAUCAGCUUGCUGCAGCCACUCACACACCUUUACUGUGUUUGUUUUUAUCUUAUCAGGGAGUUGAGGAUGCAUUGUCCAUUCGAAGUCUUGGCAGUCACAGGGUUGGUAUUUUAAGUUGUUUACACCCUAAUAGCAAAGCUAUCCCUUUGUCUUUUCUAAAAAAAGAAAAUAUUGGUAAAGUUCUUUUCAUUGGAAAGUGGUAUUUUCUCUCAAAUUAUUGCUAUAAGUAAAUCAAUUCUAAAAUCGUAAAUAUUUUCAUCUAUUAACAUGUAUAUUUACUUUUUUUCUGUAAAAGGACUUUUGAUUUUGUAAAAUCAUUACAAAAUAAUAAGAUUGAUUUUAUAAAAUAACACCUGCAUGGUUCUAACUUUCAGAUUUUUCCUACUUUCAG
rnacentral:lncRNA from 1 species